rnacentral:rRNA from 1 species
UACGAAGGGGGCUAGCGUUGUUCGGAAUCACUGGGCGUAAAGGGCGCGUAGGCGGCUAUUCAAGUCGGGGGUGAAAUCCCGUGGCUCAACCACGGAAUGGCCUUCGAUACUGGACGGCUCGAGACCGGAAGAGGUGAGUGGAACUGCGAGUGUAGAGGUGAAAUUCGUAGAUAUUCGCAAGAACACCAGUGGCGAAGGCGGCUCACUGGUCCGGUUCUGACGCUGAGGCGCGAAAGCGUGGGGAGCAAACAGG